GCGCUACACUGAUGCAUUCAACAAGCCUAUCCUUGACCGAAAGGUCCGGGUAAUCUUUGAAACUGCAUCGUGAUGGGGAUAGAUUAUUGCAAUUAUUAGUCUUCAACGAGGAAUGCCUAGUAAGCGCAAGUCAUCAGCUUGCGUUGAUUACGUCCCUGCCCUUUGUACACACCGCCCGUCGCUCCUACCGAUUGGGUGUGCUGGUGAAGUGUUCGGAUUGGCAGCUUAGGGUGGCAACACCUCAGGUCUGCCGAGAAGUUCAUUAAACCCUCCCACCUAGAGGAAGGAGAAGUCGUAACAAGGUCUCCGUAGGUGAACCUGCGGAGGGAUCAUUGAAUUAUUAAAACCACAAUGCGAACCUCAACGUUUCGUGCCUUGGCUUGCCAGUGGGGCAUUCGGUAAAUCCGUAUGGAGCCCACAGCUGAGCGAGCAAUGCUGCCCGCUCAGUGGCGCCUUGGCAUGCUUAUACACCAGUGCUAACCACUGUUAAAACCAAAUACUGAAUUUGUGAUUGCUAGUAAUUGGCAAUCUUAACCAAAGAUAACUCUCAACAACGGAUAUCUUGGCUCUCGCAACGAUGAAGAACGCAGCGAAAUGCGAUACGUAGUGUGAAUUGCAGAAUUCCGUGAACCAUCGAAUCUUUGAACGCAUAUUGCGCUCGAGCCUCCGGGCAAGAGCAUGUCUGCCUCAGCGUCGGUUUACACCCUCACCCCUCCCACUUUGUUGGGUUGUUUGGCAACUUUGCCAGCAUAGGUGGUGGAUCUGGCUUCCCCAAUCUGCCGUCUGGUAGAUUGGGUUGGCUGAAGAAUAGAGGUUUAAGCAAGGACCCGUUAUGGGCUUCAACUGGAUAGGUAGCACCGGCUUGUGCCGACUACACGAAGUUGAUGCUCGUGGAUCUUGCUAGAGGCCAAGCAGGAACGUGCCCAUGGCACGUCUAAACUUUCGACCUGAGCUCAGGCAAGGCUACCCGCUGAACUUAAGCAUAUCAAUAAGCGGAGGAAAAGAAACUAACAAGGAUGCGCUUAGUAACGGCGAGCGAACCGCGCAAAGCCCAACUUGAAAAUCUCCCUUGGAGAAUUGUAGUCUAUAGAAGUACCCUCUGCAACGGGCUGAGCUAAAGUCUCCUGGAAAGGGGCGUCAGAGAGGGUGAGAACCCCGUAAGCUCACGCUUAGUUGCCUCACGAGGUGCUUUCAAAGAGUCGGGUUGCUUGGGAAUGCAGCCCAAAUUUGGUGGUAAAUC
rnacentral:rRNA from 1 species